CCGAUAUGAGUAUUGGCAAGCUAAAGAACAGGCAGGGAAUCUUAACUAGAUUUCCACAGACUAUUCUGAAAAACAGUUAAAACUUUCCAUGGGUGUAUGUAUUUGCCCAGGAAAGUAUCCAAAACUUUCAAAUAUAACAUAUUUUCAGAGGUAUCUGGGACAAACAAAUAAAAAUACAAACAAUGUAGAAAAGAACAUGAACCAAGCCAAGAAAUUUUGACUCAGUAAACAGAUCAAAAAGCAAUAUAUCUUAGUGGUCAACCCUGAAGGUUCUGCACAGACUCAAACACCAACAAACAGAUUUUGAAAAAAAAGAAACUGACGUUUUCAAGGCGAUAGUGCCAGCUGUUUCAAACCAGGCCCCUUAUUCUUACUAGAGACUUCCAUGAAAACCACAGCACCUUGAAACAUUCCUUUUCUGUAUAAACUGAGUUCUGGCAACACACAACCAAAGUACUCUGACCUAAUACAU
rnacentral:lncRNA from 10 species